UCCUUUUAUUUGAAACACGACAGAAAAUAUAUUUGCACACAGUUUUGUGUAAACAUAAUGUAUACGUGAAAAUGAUAAUGACGCACACACAAUGUCAUAAAGUUAACAAAGAUGUAUUUGUAUCCCGCGCGCUGCUAAAGUAAGUCGUAUUUAAAUUUUACAGUGUUUUUCGUUGAUACAUAAUAAAAUGCAUACGUGCAUGUUAACUAUACAUAUUUCAAUAGUGGUCAAGUAUGACGGUUAGUAAGGUGACCUUUAUGCCCACAAAAAUGUAUAAUUGCCGUUUAGCCUAUUAAGCUCAUCAAGUGGAACAGAACUAGGCGUGAAUCACAGGAUAUGAUAUCACACAGCACUCCACCUUCGUACGGCUGCGACGUUGGGAUGUCUUGGGAUCUACAUUAUCCAUCAUAAGUGCAGUGCAAACAGUGUUCUUGCAAUAUCUAGAAUGUCACGUAGUGAUACGCUCUAUGGUUGUGUGAUUUAUAUGAAGAUUUGGGUAUCCUUUUUUACUUUUUUAUUUUUAUAAAUGAGAAUCUAUUUACAAUUUAAUAUACCGAAGAUAUUAAUUUUGAUUUUCGAUAACUUAAAAAAAGUUACAUUACUUUGUAGAUUUUUACAAUUUUUUAAUGUAAGUAAAUUAAUCUUAUAAAUAUGAACCAUAUCGAUGUAAAUGUUUGAUGUUUGAUAUUCCGGCAUUAUUGUGUAAUAUGAUCACGAAUAAGACAAACGUUGUAAAUGCAUGCGAUAAAAUUAUCUAAAAUUUGAUAACGGAGUUAAAUAUCUACAAUGUAAAUGAGUAAAGCAUUGUAAAACAUGUGCUUAAGUAAAACAUCCGCAAAAUUAUAAUAUGUUCAAAUAUAAUUAUUUAAGAGGCAAUACUAAUAUUUGUUUUAUCCUACAGCAUCUCUCUAGGUAGCAAAAUCUAAUAAAUUGAAAUCUAAAUGCAUCGUGGAGGCAGCGCAUACAGCAUACGAGUGCAUUCACAAAGUCAUUUGGUAUCGACUGCAAAUCGACGAUAUUGGAUAUCUCUUAAUCCAUUUGACCUCAAAGUAGAAACCAGCAUUGGUAAAUUAUUGAACAACAUAUCAAAUUAAAUGGCUUUAAAAUAUUUUUAGUGAAAUCAUAAAACAGACUUCAAAUUAAUAAAGCGUUUUAAAAAUUACAAAAUCUUAAAAGCUUUUAAACUAAAAGCUACAAAGACCUGUACAAACAUUUCUAAAAAAACUCCACUAAAGGCAAAACUUUUGUGAAUGCACCCAGCGUGGUGUACCUCAGCGAGGUUAGUUAUAGAGAGAGAUAGCCUCUGCAGCGAACUCCUCCGCUGCGUGGUGACUAGCUUGCGAACUACAUUUAGAGGCCGUCUCAGCCCUAACAUCUGCGUGCUGAAGAACGAAUCGGUCGCCUCAUCCUCAUCCUGUAUAGACGUCACCUUCAAAUCAAAUACUAUUCGGCGAAAAAUGAACGCACGCGCAACGUACGCGCACGCAAUUGGUGCGUACAAAUGUGUACUAUAUAAUAAAAUCUUUACAAAAACUUGAA